GACGAACGCUGGCGGCGUGCUUAACACGUGCAAGUCGAACAGAAAGGCCCUGCUUUUGUGGGGUGCUCGAGUGGCGAACGGGUGAGUAACACGUGAGUAACCUGCCCUUGACUUUGGGAUAACUUCAGGAAACUGGGGCUAAUACCGGAUAGGAGCUCCUGCUGCGUGGUGGGGGUUGGAAAGUUUCGGCGGUUGGGGAUGGACUCGCGGCUUAUCAGCUUGUUGGUGGGGUAGUGGCUUACCAAGGCUUUGACGGGUAGCCGGCCUGAGAGGGUGACCGGCCACAUUGGGACUGAGAUACGGCCCAGACUCCUACGGGAGGCAGCAGUGGGGAAUAUUGCACAAUGGGCGGAAGCCUGAUGCAGCAACGCCGCGUGCGGGAUGACGGCCUUCGGGUUGUAAACCGCUUUCGCCUGUGACGAAGCGUGAGUGACGGUAAUGGGUAAAGAAGCACCGGCUAACUACGUG
rnacentral:rRNA from 1 species